rnacentral:tRNA from 1 species
GGGUCCGUGGCCAAACGGAGAAGGCACCUGAUUUCGACUCAGGCGAUUGUAGGUUCGAAUCCUACCG